rnacentral:lncRNA from 1 species
GGUAAUCUUCCUCGUAGUAAACGAGUGACACCGUCGGAGCUGCCGCCGAUGGUCAACGCCUCUGCCACCAAUGGACACCAAAAUCACACCCCAGAUUCUCCUUCUCCUUCUCUACCUGAAUCCAUGACUGGUUACCUUCGAAUCAUAGUCAAACGUCUCGAAUAAUCAAUUAAGUUUUCCAGCCAAAACGCAACCUUGUCCAAAUCGGUUCAAAUUCACACCCCAUGUUCCCCUAACCUCCCUCAUCCCUAAUCCCUAAUCCCUAAACGGAUUCCUUCGAAUAUCGCUGGAGAGCCUCGAAUUUCAGAUCGAAGCUGGACCUUAAAAACCCUAAUUUCACGAGUCGGGGAUUUUUGGAGGGCUUGACCAUUACAACAUUUAGUUUAUAGUUUCUCAUGAAAAUAUAUGAUUAAAUGCUCGUUUGGGCAAGGGUUUCAAUCGUACUUUUGCCAGGUCGAAGUUUUAGAACUGGUAAUCCUCUCCUAUGUUAUUUUUCUAUUAUUUUAUUACUUUUUUUUAUUAUUGAAUCGUCUUAUAUUUUCUGUCGCUAAGUUUAAUUUCUGCUCUCGUCCAAAUUCUGUUUUAAAACUCAACGAUUCAAUAGCUGAUUACUUGUUUGAUGAACGAUGAUUGAUAUCUUGUUAGUUUGAACUGUUAGAGACUAAUUUGGGGAUUAAGUUUAGGUUAAUGUUUGAAGUUUCUGAUUUUGCAAAGUACUGUUUGAUUGCUGCCAAGUUGAUUGGAUUUGAUUUUCUUUUUGUUUUCUAAGAGAUAAUGUUAACUCAGCUUAAUUCAUUUUGUGGUUGAGUUUGAUGUUUGACGAUGUAUUAGGUUCUGGUUGUUUGUGAUUGAUUUACUCUUAGUUUUGACUAAUUAGGACUAAUUCAGUAGUUCCGUUUGUUAUUAGUUGAUUUUAAUCAAUUUAGUUUAGUUAGUUUUAGGUUAAUCAUUGAUUGUUACUGCUUUAAUUCCCUAUUUAGUCCAAUUAGCUGUUACAAUUAUACAAUCUGGGUAAGGGGUUGGUUUAAUAAACUAAAGUUGGUAAUUUUAGGUUUAAUUGAAUUCAAGGGUAGUUUAAGUGUUUGUGAUUGCGUAGAACAUGAUAGCUAACACUAGAGUCUUCUAGGAUUUUCUAGAAUGAGCCUUUAGUGCAUAUUUUAUAAAACUUAGUGUACUAACUUGAGGAACAAGGUAAUAAGUAGAGUACUGAAUUGAAAUAAAAUAGGGACUGGAGUGUAAAACACUAAAUCUGAAAUUGCAUCUCAUAGUGCCUAUAAAAGGGCCAGGUCUUUGCCUUAAUGAACAAGCUGGGGGCUCCGAAAAUUCCCUCCUUAAGUCCUCUCUAGUUGCAUAUUCACAUGAAGACUUGAAAUUUGAAAUUCAUAUUAGAGUUCUGAGUGUUUCUACAGAAAACAAAAGUAAAAAUCAACAAAACUCUCAAAAACCCAAAAAAAACAUCACUGUUCUAUUGGUCACUGUGGUUUAACUUUAAGUUUGAGUAAUUGGUGUCGAUCUGCUGUUUCAACACUGAAUAGCUUUUGAAUCUGAGUUUAUUUCCGUGCCUGUUUUGGUUGCUGAGAUUCGAGAUGUGUUUUGAUAUGUUAAUUCGAGUCCAUUUGGAGUGACAUUUGGGUUGUUUGGGUUGGUUUUGAAUACUAGAUCUCCUUUUAACUUAAAUCUGGUUUGUUUGCUGCUGGAUUGAUUUGCUGUGUUGAGCUAUUGCGGACUUAUUUUUCUCCUUCAUUGUAUCUACGUUCCAAGUACACGCUCGAAACCACAUUGAUGUAACCACAACUUGGAGUGAAAUGCCCUUGUAUUGACUAACCUGUGUUCUUUUAGUUAUAUAUAUGAUUGUAAUUGUUCAUGAUGAGUAGUAGUGUACAUUUCAUACGUUGGAUUUGAAUUUUAAGAGGCUAUUAAUUAGACCAACCGAACUGUGUUGAAUUGAACCUGGAAUGCCAAUUGGUUAACUCUGAAUCAUGUAACUUCAGGAUGUAUGAUUGAACUCCUGUGGAAGUUGUAGCUAAGAACUAAUUGUUGGUUUGAAUUCAUAUACAAUAUCCUGUUUAGGUUUUUGUGUAGUAAAUGGCUCCGACAAUAUUAGCUUGAAUCUGUUUUGGAAUAGUUGAGAGUUUGGAUCAUUAACAUGGUUGUACAUAUAGUGUAAUAAACCACCAGUAGCAUAAUGAAUAAAGUAUGCGCAGAACUGGAAUCAAAUUAACUAAUGUUUAAUUAAGUUGACUUGAGUAUUAGGUGAUGAAAAUUUCCUAUGAUUGCUACAUUGAAUCACGUGCAUUCAGGAAUUAGGAAUAAGUUUGGCUUUAAGUGCAAAAUUUGAUUUCUAUUACUUUAAAGAGACGACAAUGCUGUUGGUGAGUAAUUUGGGGCAGUGUGGGUUUGUUCUCUAUCUGUGUAUACAAUGGAAACUAAGUUGUAUGCUAUCUCUUGGGGCCAACUUUUCAAAGCAGACCCCAGCGUUUGAUAUGUUAUGCUGAAUUACUGGGCAAGCUUCAUGUUCCUACUUCACGGGCUACUAGGCUUGGACAUUGGGCCCAUUGUUUAUAUAACCAAGAUUCUUCUUUUAUUACUCUAUAAGUAAAAAAUGAGAAUAGAUAACGUAGUUACUUUUAGAUUGGCCUUUAAUAAAACAAUGAGAUGAGCCUCACCAAACAAAGUACAAAAUGCAAGGCCCUCAAUAAACGGUUAUUAAAUGACUUAGAAUUGGGGGGGGGGGGGUGGCAUUUGGUAAAUUUCACCGCCUUCCCCAAAAUAAUAAUACGUUAGACUCUUUAAGCACGACUUUAAUAACAUUACAUUUCUAAACUCAGGUGCGUAUUGAUGCGACCAAAGUCCAAAUCUCAACGGAGUCGAAAUGUGUUGACAACCAUGGGUGCAUUGAUUGCGACGUGGUUCGGGAUGCAUUUUCACGACGUUGAAAUUCUUUUAAAAUAAUGAUAAAAGCAGUUUACAAAUAAAAGGCACAUAAGCUAGUAUAUAUAAAAAUAAGAUAAAAUCAAAUACAAUAGUUAAGUGACCGUACUAGAACCACGGAACCCGAGAAUGCCUAACACCUUUUCCCAGGUAAACAAAAUUCCUUACUCAUAUUUUGGUUUGCGGACGGUAAUAUAGAGUCACAUUUUCCUCAGUUCGGGAUUCAACUGGUGACUUGGGACACCAUUAAUCUCCCAAGUGGCGACUCUGAAUAAUUCAUAACUAAAUCCCGUUCUGAUUGUCCAUUAAUUGGAAAAACUCCUUUACGCUCUUGCGGGUGUAGUGAAAAAUGAGGUGUGACAAAGGGUUCUUGCAUAGAUCCUGUUAUUAUAAAAUCGGUAACUCAGCUACCACUGAUUAAUAGUAAAGUCAUCCCUUGGAGUUAUAAACAAGUGGUGGUGACAUAUAAAGGGAAGGAGAUCAGAGAAAAAGAUUGUGAAGUUCAGGGUAUGACUCAUUCAGGGAGGAGCUUUGCCCCUGAAGAGUUGAGAAAAGCAGAAUCCACAAAGAUAACCCGAUAUUGGUAAAGAAAGCCAUAACAUAAAAGGAAGCCGAAGAAUUCUUGAGGAAGAUGAAAGUACAGGAUUACCUAUCGUGGAAAUAUUGAAGAAAAUACCUGCCCAUAUCUCAUUUCUCUCAUUGCUGAUCAACUCAGAUGAGCACCGCCGAGCGUUGAUGAAAAUAUUGAAUGAGGCCCAUGUCCCCGAUAAGAUCUUAGUGACUCUCCUGGAGAAGAUAGCAAAUAAAAUCUUGAGGUGAAUAGAGUUACUUUCUCCGACAAUGAGUUUCCUGUGGAGGGCACAGAAUAUAACAACACCCUUUAUUUGACAGUGAAGUGCUUAGACUCUGUAGUCAUACAAGUUCUGGUCGACAACAGAUCUAGUGCAAAAUAUAUGUCCUCUUUCCACGUUGAACAAGCUAAAGGUCGAUGAUGAUAGAAUUCAUAAGAACAACGUCGGUGUGCGAGGGUUCGACGGCGGGGGCAAAGUUUAUGUGGGUGACAACAACAACAACAACAACAACAACAACAACAACCAAGAAUAAUCCCACUUAGUGGGGUCUGGGGAGGGUAAUGUGUACGCAGACCUUACCCCUACCCUUGGGUAUAGAGGUUGUUUCCAAAUAGACUCCCGACAUCCAUCCAUCCAAGAACUUCCCACCUUGCUCUUGGGGACACUCGAACUCACAACCUCUUGGUUAGAAGUGGGGGUUGCUUAUCAUCAGAGCAACCCCUCUUGUCUUUAUGUGGGUGACAUAAUAUUAGAAUUGACAAUCGUGCCAGUAGAGUUUACUAUGGAAUUUCAAGUACUAGAUGUGGCGUUCUCUUAUAACCUUUUGUUGGGGCGACCCUAGCUCCAUGCCGCCAAGGCAGUGCCAUCUACAUUGCAUCAAAUGGUUAAAUUCGAGUGGGACAGACAGGAGAUUGUGGUAAAGACAAUAUGUGUGCCCUGGGUGAUGCCAUUUUACCCUUCAUCAAAGUGGAAGAAGAUCGGGCGCCAUGGGUAUAUCAAGUCUCUAUCAUAGUAUAAGUGGAAAAGGUCCCGUAGGGGAAACGCACUCCAGUUCCUAGAGUAAUGGUCGCGACUGUCAUGGUGGCCUCUAAAAUGUUGAAGAAUGGUUUCAUAUCGGGUAAAGAUUUGGGUGCUGCUCUUCAAGGAACUGUGCAGCUAGUUUCUCUUCCAAAGAAUUUGGAUACUUUUGGUAUAGGGUUUAAGCCCACCGCGGCUGAUGUGAGACGAGCCCGCAAAAUGAAGAAGAAGGCAUGGGCCUUGGCAAAGCCAAUCCCACAUCUGUUUAGGUCUUUCGUCAGGCCGGGUAUUAGAAAGCAACUAUUGUCUGAAGUUCCCAGGUCACUGAUUGGUGCUGAUGGAGAAUUGGAUAAGGGGUUCGAAAGGUUAUUCACCGAGGUUAACAUGGUAGAGGCCGGGGAAGGGCCAAGCAAGGAAGAUGUGCAAUUCUUUGUAUCAUCAACUGGGAAGCUACUCCUCUUCCUGCUCGGAGGGAGUCUUGGUAGUGGGUUCUGAUUUUCUUUUGUUGUCUAGAUUAUUCAAUGGUUAGUAAUUUUGACAUUAUGUUCCGUCCAAUUGGAUGUGUUAAAGCCAUGUUAUCUCUAUAUUCAAUGAUGCAAUUUUCUUUUCUUUCUUCAUUCCUUAUUUUAUUUUUGUUUUCUUUUCUUAUCUGUAUAGUUCUUUUUAUGGUGAUAUCAAUGACAUGACAUGCAUGAGGAAUCUUCGGUCCAGUUUGAAAAGCCAAUCUAACUCGGAAAUAAUAAUACAAGAAGUUGAGUGUGAUGACGAGUUGGAAUUCAAUGACGAUGAGGCUUAUAAAGUAAUUAGUAUUGAAUUAAGUCAAUAUGAGGAAAAGCCCAAACCUAAUUUGAACGAUACAAAAGCAGUUAAUCUAAGGGACCAACAUAAUGUUUGUGAAACUAAAAUAAGCGUUCACCUGCAACCACAACUCAGGGAGGAGAUAGUCAAAGCACUAAUCGAAUACAAGGAUAUGUUUGCAUGGUCGUAUGAUGACAUGCCGUAUCUAAGCACUGAUUUAGUGGUUCAUAAGAUUCCCACUGACCCAGCAUUCCCACCUGUCAAACAAAAGCUGAGAAAGCUUAAAACGAAUAUGAGUGUAAAGAUCAAAGAAGAGGUCACCAAGCAGUUUGACGUGAAAGUUAUUUGGGUCACGCGGUAUCCCACCUGGUUAGCCAAUGUCGUGCCAGUACCAAAAUAGGAUGGAAAGACCAGGGUGUGUGUUUGUUAUCGAGAUCUCAACAAAGCAAGUCCCAGGGAUAACUUCCCACUUCCUAACAUCCAUAUAUUGAUUGACAAUUAUGCAUAACAUGAGAUUGGUUCCUUUGUGGAUUGUUAUGCGGGGUAUCACCAGAUUCGAAUGGAUGAGGAAGACUUAGAAAAUAUGGAAUUCAUCACGCCAUGUGGGACGUAUUGAUUUCGGGUCAUGCCAUUUGGUAUUAAGAAUGUCGGGGCAACCUAUAUGAGAGCGAUGACAACAAUAUUCCAUGAUAUGAUACAUAGGGAAAUCGAGGUGUGUGUGGAUGAUGUGAUUGUAAAGUCUAGAAAGCGGUCAGACCAUGUCAGGGAUUUGAGGAAGUUCUUCCAAAGGCUUCGUAGGUACAAUCUUAAGGUAAAUCUUGCAAAGUGCGCUUUUGGGGUGCCGUCUGGAAUGUUGUUGGGAUUCAUAGUGAACUGUCGGGGUAUUGAACUGGACCCAUCAAAAAUCAAGUCCAUCCAGGAACUACCACCUCCGAGGAACAAGACCGAGGUGAUGAGUUUGUUAGGGAGAUUGAAUUAUAUCAGCAGUUUCAUUGCUCAGCUCACGACAACUUUUAAGCCAAUCUUCAAAUUGUUAAAGAAAGAUGUUGUGGUCAAGUGGAUGGAUGAAUGUCAGGAGGCUUUUAAUAAGAUAAAGGGGUAUUUGUCGAACCAACCGCGUUGGUCUCUCCAGAACCAGGAAUAACUUUGAUUCUAUAUUUGAUGGUUUUGGAUAAUUUAUUUGGCUGUGUACUAGGGCAACAUGAUGUUACUGGUUAGACAGGAGUAGGCUAUUUAUUAUCACAACAAGAAAUUCACAUAUUACGAGAUUAAGUAUACUCAUCUUGAGAGGACAUGUUGCGCCCUAACUUGGGUCGCACAAAAGUUGAAACAUUAUUUGUCAUCUUAUACUACUUACUUCAUUUCUCGAUUGGAUCCAUUGAAGUAUAUCUUUCAGAAGCUUAUGCCCACAGGGGGGCUCGCAAAAUGGUAGAUCCUUUUUACAUAGUUUGACAUCGUCUACGUGAUGCGGACUACAAUGAAAACACAUGCCUUGGAGGACCAUUUAGUUUAGAAUCCAGUUAAUGAAGACUAUGAACAUUUAAAAACUUCCCUGAUGAAGAGGUGAUGCACAUUGAUGAGUUAGAAUAAUUCGAGAAGCUAGGAUGGAAUCUUUUCUUUGAUGGGGCUGCAAAUAUGAAAGGCUUUGAAAUAGGGGCAGUACUCAUUUCUAUAACAGGGCAAAACUACCCCGUCAUGGCUCAACUUCAUUUCUAUUGUGCUAAUGACAUGGCUGAGUGUGAGGCAUGUAUCUUGGGUUUGAGGUUAGAUGUAGAUAUGGGUGCCCAGGAAGUCUUGGUCAUGGGUGACGCGGACCUACUGCUACACCAAAUCAAGGAGAAUGGAAAACACGAGACUUGAAGCUUAUACCGUACCAACAAUGUUUGCAUGAUCUUUGUCAAUGGUUUCGAUCAAUAGAGUUCAGGCACAUUCCAAGGAUUUAUAAUGUUGUUGAAUAUUGUAAUGUGGUAGAAGAGGAACUUGACGGUGAGCCGUGGUUUUAUGACAUCAAGGAACAUACCAGGAUGGGGGUGAAACCAAUACAAGCCACAUGUGAUCAAAAGAGAACGAUUCGACAUUUAGCAAGCGGGUUUUUCUGCAGUGGAGGGGUUUUGCACAAAAGAACUCCGGAUCUUGGAUUGCUGAGAGGUGUACAUGCUAUACAUGCCACAACUAUUAUGACCGAAGUACAUUCUGGAGUCUAUGGGUUGCACAUGAACGGGUACCUGUUGGCCAAGAAUUUAUCUGAUCAGGUUAUUAUUGGCUCACUAUGGAGCGGGAUUGUAUCAGUUCCGUACGCAAAUGUCAUCAGUGCCAAGUGAAUGGAGAUUUGAUUAAUUCUCCACCAUCAGAAUUACACACGAUGUCUGCAUCAUGGCCUAUUGUCGCGUGGGGCAUGGAUGUCAUUGGGCUAAUUAAGCCAUCAUCGUUAAAUGCGCACAGGGUCAUCCUGGCCAUAUAUUAUUUCACCAAGUUGGGUAGAGGCUAAAACGUUCAAGUCCGUAACCAAGAAAGCUGUGGUGGAUUUUGUGCAUUUAAGCAUUAUCUGUCGGUUUGGGAUACCAAAGGUGAUCAUUGCAAAUAAUGGAGCUAAUCUCAAUAGUCAUUUGAUGAAAGAGGCAUGUGAGCCGUUCAAGAUUACCCACCGCAAUUGUAUCUCGUACCGCCCUAAGGCAAAUAAAGCAGUUGAGGUGGACAACAAGAAUAUAAAGAAGAUACUUCGAAAAAUGGUGGAGGGUUCUAGACAGUGGCAUGAAAAGCUGCCUUUUGCAUUGUUGGGGUACCACACCACUGUUCGUACUUCAGUUGGGGCGAGUCCUUACUUGUUGGUGUUUGGCAUUGAAGUAGUGAUACCCACACAAGUGGAAAUCCCGUCCCUUCAAAUUAUCACGGAGGCUGAGAUCGAUGAUGAUGAAUGGGUAAAAACCAGCCUUGAACGAUUGAGCUUGAUCUAUGAGAAAAGAUUGGUAGCAAUGUGUCAUGGCCAAUUGUAUCAACAAAAAAUGGCAAGAGAAUAGAACAUGAAAGUGCAUCCGAGGAAGUUUGAAGUGGGACAGUUAGUGCUGAGACGUAUCUUGCCUCAUCAAGCUGAAGUAAAAGGAAAGUUCUCCCCAAACUGGCAAAGGCCAUUUGUUUAACUAGAGUGUUGUUUAAUGAUGCAUUGUAUUUGACAGAUGUAGAAGGAAAAUGUGUAGUAAUGGCUAUCAAUUCUGAUGCAGUCAAGAGAUACUACGUACGAUUUCUUUGUUUGAUUGUACUUGUUUUUAAUUGGAAUAUUUUGAAGAUUGAAAUGACGAAGGGUGUUUUGUUCUGCUAUCUAAAUACGUUAUCACUUGUCAUUCCUUUUGAGCAUUGUUUAUUUUCUUUCAUACCCUUCUUUCGGAAUCAAUGGCACAAUUGAAAAAUGCUAGUGCGGAAGAUAUGUAUGUGAAAAGAAAAAGAAAAAGAAAAGAUGUAGAAAAAUGAAAGAAAAAAGAAAAAACAAAAUGAAAAAGAAAAAAGAGAAAAGAAGAAAAGAAAGAAGAGAUCACAACAAUAAAGCAAUUUCUAUGAAAUGAACUGCGUUCGACCUGAUUCCUCUUAAGGAUACGUAGGCAACCUCACCGUUCAGUCCAUCUAAAUAAAAUCCAAAAGUCCCCAGGCAAGAAACUGGGGUAGAAGUUGUGGUUGUUGUGAGAAAUAUGAUUUGGAAAGUUGUAACUUUUAUCCCAUUUGAAUUGUUUUGAGCCUCUUAUACCCUUUCUUUUUAACCCCUUCCAAAAGCACACGUUACGGUCCAAAGAAAGACCUUUUGAUCAAUCUUCGAGAAAUGCCAAGUCAAGCAUUCAAAGGUAAUUCAUGUCACGGGAAACACUCUAGUUCUAGCAGAAAAAAUAAAAAAUGAGAGAUUCUUAUUGACGAAAAUCUUUACGGGCACCGUAAGGCGACGAGAGCUGAGAGAAAUAAAAAUGAGAGAGUCUUAUUGGUGAAAACCUUCAGGGGCACCGUAAGGAGAUGCGAGUUGAGAGAAAUUAAAAUGAGAGAGUAUUAUUGGUGAAAACUCUCACGGGCACCUUGAGGCGAAAGUAAGUUGAGAAAUGAAUAAAUGAGAGAGACUUGUUGGUGGAAAACUGUUUCAGGGCACCGCAUGAUGAACAAGGCAAGGUUUGGGUAAAGCAAUCAGAUCAUGGAAAUUGUGAAUCAACAAGUAUGGCUACUGAAAGUUGGUUGGACAGAUUGGACCGAUUAAUCCAAGAUGCAUGUCAUGAUCAUUGGUGACAACUGUUCCACUCAGAUAAGUUACUUUUUCUUUUUCCCUUUUAAUAGUCAUAUGGUUUUCGAUUCUUCUUAUCUUUAACUCGCAAAAUUAUUGCAUUUCAUUUUCUUUUGGGGGUUUAUAUGUCUAAGAUGGUUCAAUGUCAGUUUUUUUCAGAGCAAGUGAAAAAAGAUUUCAAAGCUCACUACCAAUUUCCAAAAUUGCAAAGUACAACGUAGUCAGAACAUACUAAAGACAACAUGAUGUAAAAUGGGAUACAAGGAGCCACCGGAAGUUUCAUCGGUGGAAUGAUUUGGUAAUGUCAUGGGAAAUGUAAAUGUUCAGAUAAAGGGGUCAAAGGUAUGAAACUACAACAUGGGUAUAGAACACUUGGGUCGUCAAAAGUUAGGGGGUUUGAAAGUCAGUCAGAAAGUCAAGCGGUUCGGGCCAGUUCAGGGAAGCCAGUCAAAAAAAACAAAUACACUGGAGGGAUCUUCAGCAAGAAUUCCAUCAAGUAAGCACCAUUUUAAACUGAUAAAAUUUUCUUUGAUUAAAACAGGGGCAAAAAAAUUCGUAUGUUUCGAAGGAACUCUCUGUAAAGGAAAAGCAAGAAGUAAUCAGGUUUACCAUAAACUUUCAGGACCCUCCAUGAAAAUGGUACUUAGUUUAAAUUUCAAAAUAAUCAUGAGUAGCAUAAAUGAGCAUAAAUGUAUCCCAGGAACAUAAGAUGGUUUUAAAGUUCGCAUGUUGGAGGUGGGAUUCAAUUAGGAGUUUUCACGAUCCUCCUGAAUAGUGGGACACAGUUUUAUGAUUUUACUUAGAUAACAAGAUGUAGUGUAAAUUUCUGUCAUCAGGUAGUAUAAUUCAGUCGUACAAGUGUCAUUUUAGGACGAGGUUUGAUUGCCAGGGACCUCCCUGGAUAAUAGAACUUAGCUUUUAAAUUCUUAGUAAUAGUUGGUAGAAUGAUUCAUGUUUAACACUUACCCAUGUGCCUAGCUACAAAACUGGGGCAGAAAAUUUUCUUUGUUUUGCCUAUCUUGUUGAAGUCAGGUGACCACCUGGAUAGCAGAGGAAUACAUUCAUGUUUUGGAUUCAGGAGCCUACCUGUAUAGCAGAGGAAUACAUUUCAAGUUUUGAAGUCAGGAGCCCGUCUGUAUAGCAUAUGAAUACAUUUCAAGUUUUGAAGUCAGGAGCCCGCCUGUAUAGUAGAGGAAUACAUCUCAAUUUUUGAAGUCAGGAGCCCGCCUGUAUAGCAGAUGAAUACAUCUCAAGUUUUGAAGUCAGGAGCCCGCCUGCAUAGCAGAGGAAUACAUUUCAUGUUUUGAAGUCAGGAGCCCGCCUCUAUAGCAGAGAAAUACAUCUCAAGUUUUGAAGUCAAGAUCCCACCUAUAUAGCAGAGGAAUACAUUUCAAGUUUUGAAGUCAGGAGCCCCCCUUUAUAACAGAGGAAUACAUUUCAAGUUUUGAAGUCAAGAGCCUGCCUGUAUAGCAGAUGAAUACAUUGAAGUUUUGAAGUCAGGAGCCCACCUGGAUAGCAAAGUAAUACAUUCAAGUUUCGAAGUCAGGAGCCUGCCUGGAAAGUAUGGGAAUAUAUAUCAAGUUUAGCAGUCAGGCACCCACCUAGAGAAGGGAAAAACAUCUCAGUUUACGGUUUAAAGCAACAACAAUGGAUUUCACCGAGAGGAUACAAGACAACAAGGCAAAAAGAAAUGAAAGAGCAAGUUUGAAGACUUUGAUAGGAUUCUUUAAUUCAUAGAUCAUAGAUACUCUAGCUUCUUUUUAAUUUUACGUGGUAUAAUAAGGGGAUACAGUAAGCAGUAGCAGCAGCAGCAAUAGUGAAAUUACAGCUUCAUGGUAGUCCCAGCUACCAGACAUUCCCGAACUACACUGACCUGAUUCCUUUUCAGCCAAGGAUAUGUAGGCAACCUCAAAAGCAGGGUGCAGUCAACUCUUUCACAAAUGCUUCAUACAGAGUAUUCAAACGGACAAAAAUUGCUCAUAUUAUUAACUUUAAAUCUAGCUUUGAUUUCAUUAGGUUUUCUGUUAAUUUAUUUUGGAU